AAGUGUUUCGGGUCACGUAGUAUAGCCACGUGCAAGGAAAUAACAAUAUCUGCAAAUAUGAUUUGGCCCACGAAGACGUCAUUAUCGCAAUUUCAAUGCAAGUUUGGUUGACGCCCACUUUUAUUUGUCAAAGAAUUAUUCGAACACAUCGGGAUAUAAAACUACAGGGAAAAGGGAUAUUCGACCAAAACCUCAUUUUUGCAAAUAGUUCCAACAGGUGAAUCAGAUGAAUAGCCAUGGUGUUUUUCAACUUAACUUGCACACGGUGGCAAAACAAACAAUUUUAGCGUGUAACAGAUGUUUUAUUUAUUGUUUUGUAACCGCAGAAGGGAAGAAAUUUUUGUAACCGCAGGAGGGAAGAAAUCUUACUUUUUGUUCGUUAGAUGUCGCCGUAGCGGCUAUUCGUUUGACAUGUAAGGUAGUCUGCUAACAUAGAUGGCUGAACCUGAACGUGAAUGAAAGUCAUCGAACUAAAGAAAGAUUUUCUAGGGGCUCCAGCCACGGCCAGUGGCAUUUAAAGUAAAAAAACAAAAACAAAAAGACUUUUAAAAUUUAAAGUGUUAAAAAGAAAAGAAGAAUUUAAGGCAAUCAAGGCAACUUACCAUACUUAAUGAUAAAUGUGCUGUACUGGUGAGGCUGUAAGUAAUGCUUGGCCCUUAUUACCUGAGACCCAUCUAACUACCGAGUACUGGCGUGAAGUAAAAAAAUAUAUAUACGUGUUUCGCGCCAGUACCUUCCGAUAGUAAGCCGGGUCUCAGGUAAUUGACGACCCCAGCCCAAGCUGCAAGUUGUACUACGAGCACCGGCAGCCUAUCGGGUAAUAGCCAAAAAUGCAGUCGAGCACUGAAAAUCUGUCGGUGCAAUACACCUACGAGCAGAAGGUAUCUACCAUAGCUUAUACCACAAUAGUUGAUGUAUUUGCAUUAUUUGACAGGUGAUGACAUGAUCGUUAACAAGGUACUUUCUAUUGCAUCAUGUCGUCACCUCUGCAAUGUUGUUGAAAAAGAUUCAGUUUCCCGAUUGGGAUUCUGUCUAGAUGUGGUGAUUUAGUACACCACUGACCCGUUUUGUAAAGAUAUUUCUCUCGAUAGAUGGCUUUAGUUGUAAUAGAUCUAAAUGGCGUUAUCUGUAAUGAUAGCAAUUUAACAUACGUUUUGGAGUGGUUCAGAAAUGUUUUAGACGUUUUGCCGGUUGUCGUGGAGCCGCUCCCGAAUUAGUGUUUUUGUAAAGCUGGCAUAAUGGAAGAUUUCCACGUCACGUUUUUUAAGUGUGUUAAUUCCGAAGAAUCAAGCAAUGAAAACCAAAGACUAUAAAAUAAAUAAAUCGUGUGUAAAAUGGGGAAACCAUCGUAUUGCGAACUGAUCUCCAAACUGAUGGGGCAGCUAUGAGGAAAAGAGAGAUUGAAGUGUGUCAGCAGCUAGCCUCCUUAAAAGAAAAAGUAAUUCAUAUGGAUACACAGUAUUCAAAUCACCUGGAAGCAUUAAGACAGACAUAAAGUUCAAGGAAUUAGAUUUCUAGGAGUUACGUAACAAGUGCAAGAUAACCAAGUUCUUUUACUGACAGUGACUUCUCAUUUCUUCUUCAUACCAGCGAUCAGAUUUGAUGUUCAAUAUUUGAUGCUCAAUAUUUUCCUACCUCUUGGAACAAGGAACAUAGGAUAUCUUGAUGCCAGCUGAGUGUCAUUGGAAAGAUGUAAAAAGAUGUUUAAGCAGGAAAAACUUAAAGUUGGAGGACGAUAUAUUUGUUUCCUGUUACUAGGUUUGUAAAACAAAUGGUAAAUUGGUAAAAUGAAACAACACAUGACCUAUUACUUUAGAUCAAUUGUUUUCACAAGUGGAGAUUGAUUCCACAAUUUUCAGCUUCCCAGGCAGACACCCAGCAUCCACAAAGCUGUGGGUAUAUAAAAAAAUUUAUUAAUUAAAGAUUUAUAUUUUAGGUUUUUGAAUACUGAGUCAGAUAACAAUGUGUGGAAUCUGAUAUUCUAGCCCACAAAACCCCAGCUUCCCUUCUGCUUUAACAAGGGUACAAAGCUAUUAUAAUUUCAGGAGGCCCAGCAAUCUUUGCUUGCGGUCUUCCAGUGCCGGGAAUUUGUUAUGCUGUUAUGCAUGCAAUUACUCAACAAGGAAUCAGAAAUAAAAAUUAUGCCAUGAAAUAAGAAACGGAGUGCCCAUUGUUUAAAGGUUUAGAGACUUGGCUAAUGGUAUUGCUGGCCCAUGGUGAAAGCGUCGAUAAGGUUGCAGAAGGGUUGCGUUGCGUUGCGUCGCAAAAUCUACAUAUUAUUUCCACCAUUGCUGAUACUGAACGCCGUCUUAACGGAGUCCAGUUCGAUCCUGAAGUUGAUUUGACGGAA